rnacentral:rRNA from 1 species
UAAAGGUAUUCCGGUAGACGAUGGGGAUGCGUUCCAUUAGAUAGUAGGCGGGGUAACGGCCCACCUAGUCUUCGAUGGAUAGGGGUUCUGAGAGGAAGGUCCCCCACAUUGGAACUGAGACACGGUCCAAACUCCUACGGGAGGCAGCAGUGAGGAAUAUUGGUCAAUGGGCGAGAGCCUGAACCAGCCAAGUAGCGUGAAGGAUGACUGCCCUAUGGGUUGUAAACUUCUUUUAUAAAGGAAUAAAGUCGGGUAUGGAUACCCGUUUGCAUGUACUUUAUGAAUAAGGAUCGGCUAACUCCGUGCCAGCAGCCGCGGUAAUACGGAGGAUCCGAGCGUUAUCCGGAUUUAUUGGGUUUAAAGGGAGCGUAGAUGGAUGUUUAAGUCAGUUGUGAAAGUUUGCGGCUCAACCGUAAAAUUGCAGUUGAUACUGGAUAUCUUGAGUGCAGUUGAGGCAGGCGGAAUUCGUGGUGUAGCGGUGAAAUGCUUAGAUAUCACGAAGAACUCCGAUUGCGAAGGCAGCCUGCUAAGCUGCAACUGACAUUGAGGCUCGAAAGUGUGGGUAUCAAACAGGAUUAGAUACCCUGGUAGUCCACACGGUAAACGAUGAAUACUCGCUGUUUGCGAUAUAC